AAAUAUGUGGCGUCUUCUGACGCUAUCAACUAAAAAAAAAAUCUGUUCUUAUCAGUUUAAUAUCUGAUAUGUCCCCUAUCUGGGGACCAUAUAUUAAAUGGAUUUUUCAAACAGGGAGCUUGCUCUGUCCACUCCACACAUUUACCUGGUAUUGCAGUACCUCCAGGACCGGUGCACCCCUU